rnacentral:lncRNA from 1 species
CCCAAACUAACUCUAAGUUUCUACCUCAUAUACUCUACACACACCCCACUUAUUUUUUACAAUAUGCAGAAGACCCCCGUCAGAUUUUUUAGUUCUCCAAACCCUAAAAAACCACUCAUUUUCCAUCUCUCUAAUCUAGAGAAGACAGCCGCUUGCCAUAAGGGGAAUAUCUCUCAUUUUUGAGAGAUUCCAGCCUCUCUUCGCCCCUCCACGUUGCCUCCCACCGCGUUUGAUCGCCAGCGAUGGCUGUCAAAGUCCCGUCGUCCCUCUCUCUCUAGCUCAAAACCUAGUCGUUUUAUUUGUUGGUUGAGUUUUUACCGGAAAAGGCUUAACUCCGGCGACCUCAUUCGUCUUUAGAUCUAGUGUUUAUCGUUUGAUGCUAUGUCCUCGAUUGUUUGAGCCUUAAAUUUGUUGGUUUUCUUGAUGCUCGCCAGAAGUCUUCAGAUCUGAUCGGAACUUGACAUUUUCGGCGAUCUUUUACUAUCCUGGAAUGGCUUUCUCAUUUCGUUGCUACUGUUUUAUUUCAUUUUAUUUCAUGUUUUGGAGUUUGGUAUGUUAAUAGUGGUUGCUGGCGAUGUGUUCAGGCCGGACUUAUGCUUUUACGGCGACCACCAUUGAAACCGGUGAACCUUUCAUCGUCGCACUUAGGUUGUACUAUUUCAGUCUUCUUAACAUUUCCCUAUGACUGUUUGUGUGCGUUUGGUUGUGAUAACACUUUGUUACUAUUGUUUUGUUACUGGGAUCCGCUUUAAGGUCGAUGUUUCAGCUGGUUUAAGACUCUUUGUAGCCCUCUAUGGCUUACUGUUGCUUGCCAUUAUGAUCCAAAAUGGAUACCAUUUUGUUGGCUAGAAAUGUUUGCCAUUGAUGCUGCCCAUUUUGAUUAACUGUGGGUUUGGCAAUAUGUUCCGACGAUUAAUCUCGCUUAUUUAUUCACUUUGUUACAUUACUGACGGUCCUUUCUUUCGAAAAAGGGGACAAUGUUGCACUUGUCGGAGGUUACGAAUUGAGUAAAUUUAAUAUGAAUAGGGGUUGAUGAGAAUUAUAUUUUGAGGCCACGACGUCCCGAAUGACCUUCGGAUUGGGCCCGAAAUAAUAAGAUGAUGAUGAUAAACAUUGAAAAAUAGUAGAGGAGGACGCGAUGAACCAACAACCUAUGGAAGGUGACACGGUUGGCCACCAAAGUCGCUAUCGAGGCGGUGUUCGUUCUCAUGUCUAGACGGAUAACGGAAAAAACGUAUCUGAGCCUCCUAUUGUCAAAAUCUAAUUUUUCCGAUAAGCCGUGAUGGCGUCCAACGUCGCCGUUAGGCAAACCAACGUUGAAUUAGCCAUGUAAUAGUUCUUUUUAAUAAUUUCAAAGUAAUUAAAUUUUUAUUUAUUAAGAAAAUAAGAAGAUGAAAAAUUUAAUAAAGUAAGCGUAAGCUCAUAAAGGAACAAGCACAAUGAUAUAAAUACCUAAAAAAAACCAUUAAAUGUUUACUAGAAUAUUUCCAAGAUCCGGUGUCACAAAUGUAUGAGAAACUAGUAGAAUAUACAAA